rnacentral:tRNA from 1 species
GGGGAUUUAGCUCAGUGGUAGAGCAUUUGCCUAGCAAGCGCAAGGCUCUGGGUUCGGUCCCCAGCUCCG